rnacentral:misc_RNA from 1 species
UAUUACUCCAGUCUUUUCAGGAUCCAGUGAACAUGCAUAGAACAUCACAAACUGAGCAAAUUUUGACUUGUGAGCAUUCAUCAGAGUUCUCCUGAAGGAUUCCAGAAGUGUUUCAAAUACUUUUCCCAAACAGCCAUCAAAAGCACAAGAUUUGAGAUGUUCGCAGAUGAUCACCAUCAAACCAUCCAACUUGUCAGCAAAAGCAUUACCCUUGA